GGUUUCUAGCUCAGUGUUAGAGCAUCUACUUUGCAUACUAGAAAGUCCUGGGUUCAAUCCCAGGCAGCUCCA